GCAGUGGAAACAUUGUGUUAUUCCAUCCUCAGAAGAAAAGAGACAGUAUUAUACUUCGUCUCUUGCUAGUACAGGACAUGAGAUCUUGUGGACAGAGACUCAGAGUUUCCUCAGUGCUGAUAAGAAACUGGCAAUUACCAGACAAUUAACAAAACAAAACAUGGUCUUAUGAUACAGGAUAUUAUGAAGAAACAGAACGAACAAGAGACACAGGGUGACUUCUUGAAUAUGGAAAAUAUUAUUACUAUACUUCCAUUAAUGGCAUGAUUAGAAGUGAGAAAAAUAUACAUAAACAUCUCUACAUUAGGACAAAGGAGUAAUGCAAAAAAAGUA
rnacentral:lncRNA from 1 species